rnacentral:rRNA from 1 species
UACGUAGGGUGCGAGCGUUAAUCGGAAUUACUGGGCGUAAAGCGUGCGCAGGCGGCUUCGCAAGUCAGGCGUGAAAUCCCCGGGCUUGACCUGGGAAUGGCGUCUGAAACUACGGAGCUGGAGUGUGGCAGAGGGAGGUAGAAUUCCACGUGUAGCGGUGAAAUGCGUAGAUAUGUGGAGGAAUACCGAUGGCGAAGGCAGCCUCCUGGGCCAACACUGACGCUCAUGCACGAAAGCGUGGGGAGCAAACAGG